GCCGGGAUGGCCGAACGGCAAGGCGCUAGCCUGGAAAGCUAGUUCCCUCUGGGAUUAGGGGUUCGAAUCCCCUUCCCGGCG
rnacentral:tRNA from 1 species